rnacentral:rRNA from 1 species
CAGUCGCCGCGGGAAUACGAAGGGGGCUAGCGUUGUUCGGAAUUACUGGGCGUAAAGCGCACGUAGGCGGACAUUUAAGUCAGGGGUGAAAUCCCGGGGCUCAACCCCGGAACUGCCUUUGAUACUGGGUGUCUUGAGUGUGGAAGAGGUCAGUGGAAUUGCGAGUGUAGAGGUGAAAUUCGUAGAUAUUCGCAGGAACACCAGUGGCGAAGGCGGCUGACUGGUCCACAACUGACGCUGAGGUGCGAAAGCGUGGGGAGCAAACAGGAUUAGAUACCCCGGUAGUCCCUGUCUCUUAUAC